GGGUUGGAUGGCUGUGGGCUAGUUCUGGAAAGGAGACCCCAGCAAUAUCCCAGUGACCUCUGAUCCCCACGUCUCCAUGUUCCUCUCUAGACCGGGAGCUGCUCUAUGUGAGUCUCCAGGAAGAUGUCCAGGUUGGAAGCAGCCCACAUCUGGAUUUGGACUCCCUGACAAGAACUCGCCCGGAGCAGAGGCAGCGUCAAUGGCUUGUUCAGAGGGCUGGCUGGAGGGGCGGCCCCGGAACCCGGAUCCCGGAUCCCUCCCCCUCUCCCUGCCUUGGCUCCUGCCCUGACCCCAACCUGGUUCUGGAGAGGCCGAGACCAGAGCCCACGUGAGGCAGGCACCGGGCAGUCUUUGUCUGUCGAACCCUGGACACGCCAGCCCCCUGUGGAGCCCCUGCAGGCUCACAAAGACUGACGCACAGGCCUGCCCCGUCCUUGCUGUGGUUGUAUCUUGUCCUGUGGUUGGCUAGCAGUGUUGAUGACCUGUGUAGUGAACCUUUUUUGUCUGCAACGUAGAGAAUGUGUAAACAAAUAAAAGGCUUUAAAAC